CCUACGGGAGGCAGCAGUGGGGGAUAUUGCACAAUGGAGGGAACUCUGAUGCAGCGACGCCGCGUGAGGGAAGACGGUCCUCGGGUUGUAAACCUCUGUCUUUGGGGAAGAAAAUGACGGUACCCAAAGAGGAAGCUCCGGCUAACUACGUGCCAGCAGCCGCGGUAAUACGUAGGGAGCGAGCGUUGCCCGGAAUUACUGGGUGUAAAGGGAGCGUAGGCGGGAGAGAAAGUUGAAGGUUAAAUCCACGGGCUUACCUGGUGGCUGCGUUCAAAACUUCGUGUCUUGAGUGCAGGAGAGGCAGGCGGAAUUCCUAGUGUAGCGGUGAAAUGCGUAGAUAUCAGGAGGAACACCAGUGGCGAAGGCGGCCUGCUGGGCUGCAACUGACGCUGAGGCUCGAAAGCGUGGGGAGCAAACAGGAUUAGAUACCCUGGUAGUC
rnacentral:rRNA from 1 species